GACGAACGCUGGCGGCGUGCCUAAUACAUGCAAGUUGAGCGCUGAAGGUUGGUACUUGUACCCACUGGAUGAGCAGCGAACGGGUGAGUAACGCGUGGGGAAUCUGCCUUUGAGCGGGGGACAACAUUUGGAAACGAAUGCUAAUACCGCAUAAAAACUUUAAACACAAGUUUUAAGUUUGAAAGAUGCAAUUGCAUCACUCAAAGAUGAUCCCGCGUUGUAUUAGCUAGUUGGUGAGGUAAAGGCUCACCAAGGCGAUGAUACAUAGCCGACCUGAGAGGGUGGUCGGCCACAUUGGGACUGAGACACGGCCCAAACUCCUACGGGAGGCAGCAGUAGGGAAUCUUCGGCAAUAGACGAAAGUCUGACCGAGCAACGCCGCGUGAGUGAAGAAGGUUUUCGGAUCGUAAAACUCUGUUGGUAGAGAAGAACGUUGGUGAGAGUGGAAAGCUCAUCAAGUGACGGUAACUACCCAGAAAGGGACGGCUAACUACGUG
rnacentral:rRNA from 1 species